rnacentral:rRNA from 1 species
UACGAAGGGGGCUAGCGUUGCUCGGAAUCACUGGGCGUAAAGGGCGCGUAGGCGGCGUUUUAAGUCGGGGGUGAAAGCCUGUGGCUCAACCACAGAAUGGCCUUCGAUACUGGGACGCUUGAGUAUGGUAGAGGUUGGUGGAACUGCGAGUGUAGAGGUGAAACUCGUAGAUAUUCGCAAGAACACCGGUGGCGAAGGCGGCCAACUGGACCAUUACUGACGCUGAGGCGCGAAAGCGUGGGGAGCAAACAGG